GGACAUGAGGAAACCCGUGGGCUGGGA
rnacentral:piRNA from 1 species